CUAGUGUCCUUGUUUUGGUCUCCCCUAUUGUUUUUGGAUUUCCUGGAAGAUCUAAAUAGGGUCUGACCCUUGUGGUUCUGUCAGCUGUAUUAUAUGAGGGUACUAUUGAUAUGGAAGUAAAGUGAGGGAAGGGGAAGCAUUCUGUACUUCUUUGACCAGUGUUCAGUCUUUUAAUGAGCCUAUUGCCUGAGAUGUGACCUUCGUAAGUGCUUCUCAGCAUUUUUUCCAACUCUAAGAUGAGGUGUGAAGGAUAGAGAGGGCUGGUGUUAGAUACUCUCCUUUUCCUGCAAUGGUUAUAUUUUGGUAAAACCCAAGUUAGUUAAGUUCUGUUAAAAGUUCUCCUUGGGGGCAGGACUUGGUUAAGGAGAACAGAACUCUCUGGACAUAUUUCAAAAUGGCUACUUUUCAUCUGCCCUGGGGAAGAAUAAGGGGAUUUUUCUCUGUCCUUCAUCAUAAGAACCUGUGGGUAAAACUCAGACCAGUGUGGGAACCCCUGAUGUUUUCUCCCUUUCUCUUCUCUCCACAAUCUCCUAUAGUUAGUCAAUGAGCCUUUAAGUGUUUGAUACUGGCUCUAGCCAGUAGUUGGUUUAAGAUUGUAUUGGUCUAUCCAGCUUUUGGGGUGGUGGUUAACUCCGUGACCUCAGUUCUCUGGUAGAUCUGAGAAGAGUUGUCAAUUCUGAGGGUUUUUUCCAUUUAUUUUUUGUUAUGAGGUUAGGAAAGACAACUUCCAAGCCCUUUACAUGUCAUUUGGGAAUGGAAGUCUACUAGAAUUUAGACUUGUCUUGGACAAGAGAUGACAGUACAUUUAAGAAGAUUAAGAUAAUACUAAAUUAUUUUACACUCUGUGUGGUACAUUUAUAUUCAAGUAGGCACAUUUUCUGAUUACAUUUAUACUAUUUGCCAAUAAACAUAUAUAACUUCACAUUAACAUUUGAAACUAAAUAACUGCAAACAGGCUUAUAUUCUAAAAUAUUGCACAAUAUUUAGCCUGCAAUAUUGUUUUCUGUCAUUUUAGAAAAUCACAUAAAAUAAAAGAAUUGCCAUUCCCAUGAUUUCCAUCAGAGAUUUUUACUAAAGCAAAUACAUUAUACUUAUAGGUAUGACAGUGACAGGAAUAUAAGGCUUUAUAGUUUACCAUGUAUUUAACUAUUCUACUUGAUAAAUUCAUUACAAUCUCUUGGUGAGGCAGGUAGGACAGGAUCCUGGAGAAUCCAACUUCAGUAAGUUGCCUGAGGUCACAGAACUAUUAAAGGCUGGUCAGGAAUUCACAACCUAGUCUCUCAAUGCACAGGCUGUCUCCACAGAUCAUAGGCAGGUGGAAAGAUGAACUGAGCCUCCCUCAUAAUAAAUUUACCAACGUAGCAGCAAGUACUAAACAAAUAAUUAACACUGAAAGAAUGGGUAAAUGUUUGCAUUUUAAACAAUUCUCUAUUCCUCUGGAAAUAGAGAUGGAAGUCAUAGAGUCAUAUGAAGAGCUAGGAAUUUCAGAAGA
rnacentral:lncRNA from 1 species